rnacentral:rRNA from 1 species
UACGUAGGGGGCAAGCGUUGUCCGGAAUCAUUGGGCGUAAAGAGCGUGUAGGCGGCCCGAUAAGUCCGCCGUGAAAGUCCAGGGCUCAACCCUGGAAUGCCGGUGGAAACUGUCGGGCUGGAGUCCGGAAGAGGAGUGUGGAAUUCCUGGUGUAGCGGUGAAAUGCGCAGAUAUCAGGAAGAACACCUAUGGCGAAGGCAGCACUCUGGGACGGUACUGACGCUGAGACGCGAAAGCGUGGGGAGCGAACAGG